rnacentral:rRNA from 1 species
GAUCCUGGCUCAGAAUCAACGCUGGCGGCGUGCCUAACACAUGCAAGUCGUACGAGAAAGUGGAGCAAUCCAUGAGUAGAGUGGCGACCGGGUGAGUAACACGUGACUACCUACCUUCUAGUGGGGGAUAACUCCGGGAGACCGGAGCUAAUACCGCAUAACAUCGCAAGAUCAAAGCAGCAAUGCGCUGGAAGAGGGGGUCGCGGCUGAUUAGCUUGUUGGCGGGGUAAUGGCCCACCAAGGCAAAGAUCGGUAUCCGGCCUGAGAGGGCGCACGGACACACUGGAACUGAAACACGGUCCAGACUCCUACGGGAGGCAGCAGUGGGGAAUUUUGCGCAAUGGGGGAAACCCUGACGCAGCAACGCCGCGUGGAGGAUGAAGUCCCUUGGGACGUAAACUCCUUUCGACCAAGACGAUAAUGACGGUACUGGUGGAAGAAGCACCGGCUAACUCUGUGCCAGCAGCCGCGGUAAUACAGAGGGUGCGAGCGUUGUUCGGAAUUAUUGGGCGUAAAGGGCGCGUAGGCGGCGCCACAAGUCACUUGUGAAAACUCUGGGCUCAACUCAGAGCCUGCAAGCGAAACUGUGGUGCUGGAGUAUGGGAGAGGUGCGUGGAAUUCCCGGUGUAGCGGUGAAAUGCGUAGAUAUCGGGAGGAACACCUGUGGCGAAAGCGGCGCACUGGACCAUAACUGACGCUGAGGCGCGAAAGCUAGGGGAGCAAACAGGAUUAGAUACCCUGGUAGUCCUAGCCCUAAACUAUGGAUGCUUGGUGUGAUCGGUACCCAAUCCGAUCGUGCCGAAGCUAACGCGAUAAGCAUCCCGCCUGGGGAGUACGGUCGCAAGACUGAAACUCAAAGGAAUUGACGGGGGCCCGCACAAGCGGUGGAGCAUGUGGUUCAAUUCGACGCAACGCGAAGAACCUUACCUGGGCUCGAAAUGUAGGAGACAGGGGUAGAAAUAUCCCUUUCCGCAAGGACCCCUAUAUAGGUGCUGCAUGGCUGUCGUCAGCUCGUGUCGUGAGAUGUUGGGUUAAGUCCCGCAACGAGCGCAACCCUUAUCUCUAGUUGCCAUCGGGUCAAGCCGGGCACUCUAGCGAAACCGCGUAGGAUAACUACGAGGAAGGUGGGGAUGACGUCAAGUCCUCAUGGCCUUUAUGUCCAGGGCUACACACGUGCUACAAUGCGCGGUACAAAACGUCGCAAACCCGUGAGGGGGAGCUAAUCGGAAAAAGCCGCGCUCAGUUCGGAUUGGAGUCUGCAAUUCGACUCCAUGAAGCUGGAAUCGCUAGUAAUCGCAGAUCAGAACGCUGCGGUGAAUACGUUCCCGGGCCUUGUACACACCGCCCGUCACAUCACGAAAGUGGACUGCACUAGAAGUCGGCGUGCUAACCGCAAGGAGGCAGCCGCCCAAGGUAUGGUUCAUGAUUGGGGUGAAGUCGUAACAAGGUAACC